UACAGAGGGUGCAAGCAUUAAUCGGAAUUAUUGGGCGUAAAGGGCGCGUAGGCGGAAAUGUAAGUCAGAUGUGAAAUUCCGAAGCUCAACUUCGGAGCUGCAUUUGAAACUACAAUUCUAGAGGGUUGACGGAGAAAACGGAAUUCCACGUGUAGCGGUGAAAUGCGUAGAUAUGUGGAAGAACACCGGUGGCGAAAGCGGUUUUCUAGUUAAUACCUGACGCUGAGGCGCGAGAGCAAGGGGAGCAAACAGG
rnacentral:rRNA from 1 species